rnacentral:rRNA from 1 species
UAUCUGCAGUCGAGCGGACAGAAGGGAGCUUGCUCCCGGAUGUUAGCGGCGGACGGGUGAGUAACACGUGGGUAACCUGCCUGUAAGACUGGGAUAACUCCGGGAAACCGGAGCUAAUACCGGAUAGUUCCUUGAACCGCAUGGUUCAAGGAUGAAAGACGGUUUCGGCUGUCACUUACAGAUGGACCCGCGGCGCAUUAGCUAGUUGGUGAGGUAACGGCUCACCAAGGCGACGAUGCGUAGCCGACCUGAGAGGGUGAUCGGCCACACUGGGACUGAGACACGGCCCAGACUCCUACGGGAGGCAGCAGUAGGGAAUCUUCCGCAAUGGACGAAAGUCUGACGGAGCAACGCCGCGUGAGUGAUGAAGGUUUUCGGAUCGUAAAGCUCUGUUGUUAGGGAAGAACAAGUGCAAGAGUAACUGCUUGCACCUUGACGGUACCUAACCAGAAAGCCACGGCUAACUACGUGCCAGCAGUCGCGGUAAUACGUAGGUGGCAAGCGUUGUCCGGAAUUAUUGGGCGUAAAGGGCUCGCAGGCGGUUUCUUAAGUCUGAUGUGAAAGCCCCCGGCUCAACCGGGGAGGGUCAUUGGAAACUGGGAAACUUGAGUGCAGAAGAGGAGAGUGGAAUUCCACGUGUAGCGGUGAAAUGCGUAGAGAUGUGGAGGAACACCAGUGGCGAAGGCGACUCUCUGGUCUGUAACUGACGCUGAGGAGCGAAAGCGUGGGGAGCGAACAGGAUUAGAUACCCUGGUAGUCCACGCCGUAAACGAUGAGUGCUAAGUGUUAGGGGGUUUCCGCCCCUUAGUGCUGCAGCUAACGCAUUAAGCACUCCGCCUGGGGAGUACGG